AGAAUAAUGGGAGCCGCUUCAACACAGUUUGAAAGAGUAUUUUCUUAGACACCACUGAGCACCAGACUCGCACCUCUGUGAUCUACGGGUUUGUGUCGUCUCCGUGCUUCACUAUCCUGUAUAUCGACGCUGUUUGCGCAUGUGCAAUUCCUACGCGCUCGCGCAGUACAGAUUAUUGGGCAUCCUCUCUACCCGAUCCCUUAUGGAACAAAAUCACUAAUCCCCUGGCCAAUUUGCUCUGCGCAUGAGUGAUAUGAGACUCUUCCGUCAAUCCUCUUUACAGCACCUGAUCACUAGGUGGCGGAAAUUCAGCACUGAAGAAGAUGAUGAAGAAGAAGCGCUUUAACAGCGUUGCUGCUCACCUGUCGAGAUGCCGCCAUCUUGCUGCAGGAGAUUUCUGAGAGAUAAGCUGCCGCUUUCAUUUUCAUUUGAAAGCUGCUUAUUUGUUUAGAUUUUCUUUGAAAAAGAUGCAUUUUGGGGUCGUGUUCAGUUGACUUGAAUGAACGUCCUCACCUGCUGUCCCUCCUAAAACUUAUCCUUGACCACGAUGACCUUCCUAAUAAUACAGAAACCUCUGGUGCCAUUUUAAAUCCAACUUCAGACUAAUGCCCUCUGCUUUUGCACACUGCAUCUGCCAACAAAGACUUGACUGCUGUGCUUGAAUACAAAAAUGAGCUGCAGGUCUACUUCACAGAGCAUCAACAGCUCAGAGGACACCUACUUGUAACACUCAUUUACAACAUUUGGUAGAUACCCUUAUCCAGUGCAACUUACAUUUUAUCCCAUUUUUAUACAACUUAAGGGCCUAAAAUUGAGGGUUAAGGGCCUUGCUUAAGGACCCAGCAGUGACACCUUGGUGGACCUGGGAUUGGAACUUACAGCCACUAAGUUACCACAUCCACACUCACUUUCACCACCUGGUGGCUCUGAGGCACAGGAAACUGCAAAGUUGGGAGAAAUAUUUGUUCUUUUUUUUUUUUUUUUUUUUUUUACAUGCAAUAGCUAAUUUGAGUAAGAGCAUGGGUUCAGUUAUUACAUAACCUAUGAUAAUUUCUAAAACAAAUAAUUUGUUUUAAAAUCAAAUUUGCACAAUUUGCCCAAGAGCCAAAUAAGAUGUCUGGUGUUAGAAAUUCCUGCUUUUGUUUUGCACUUUAGAGUAAGGCACCAAACAUGACGUUGCGGAUCGACUGACCAAAAUUG